rnacentral:rRNA from 1 species
AGCGAACGCUGGCGGCAGGCCUAACACAUGCAAGUCGAACGGGCACCUUCGGGUGUCAGUGGCAGACGGGUGAGUAACACGUGGGAACGUGCCCUUUGGUUCGGAACAACUCCGGGAAACUGGAGCUAAAUACCGGAUAAGCCCUUCGGGGAAAGAUUUAUCGCCAAAGGAUCGGCCCGCGUCUGAUUAGCUUGUUGGUGAGGUAAUGGCUCACCAAGGCGACGAUCAGUAGCUGGUCUGAGAGGAUGAUCAGCCACACUGGGACUGAGACACGGCCCAGACUCCUACGGGAGGCAGCAGUGGGGAAUAUUGGACAAUGGGCGCAAGCCUGAUCCAGCCAUGCCGCGUAGAGUGA